CAAGUCGAACGAUCCUUCGGGAUAGUGGCGGACGGGUGAGUAACGCGUGGGAAUCUGCCCUCAGGAGGGGGAUAACGGCUGGAAACGGCCGCUAAUACCCCAUAUGCCGAGAGGUGAAACGAAUUUCGCCUGAGGAUGAGCCCGCGUCUGAUUAGCUAGUUGGUGGGGUAAAGGCCUACCAAGGCGACGAUCAGUAGCUGGUCUGAGAGGAUGAUCAGCCACACUGGGACUGAGACACGGCCCAGACUCCUACGGGAGGCAGCAGUGGGGAAUUUUCCGCAAUGGGCGAAAGCCUGACGGAGCAACGCCGCGUGAGGGAUGAAGGCCUCUGGGCUGUAAACCUCUUUUCUCAAGGAAGAAGAACUGACGGUACUUGAGGAAUAAGCCACGGCUAAUUCCGUGCCAGCAGCCGCGGUAAUACGGGAGAGGCAAGCGUUAUCCGGAAUUAUUGGGCGUAAAGCGUCCGCAGGCGGCCUUGUAAGUCUGUUGUUAAAGCGUGGAGCUCAACUCCAUUUAAGCAAUGGAAACUACAAGGCUGGAGUGUGGUAGGGGCAGAGGGAAUUCCCGGUGUAGCGGUGAAAUGCGUAGAUAUCGGGAAGAACACCAGUGGCGAAGGCGCUCUGCUGGGCCAUAACUGACGCUCAUGGACGAAAGCCAGGGGAGCGAAAGGGAUUAGAUACCCCUGUAGUCCUGGCCGUAAACGAUGAACACUAGGUGUCGGGGGAAUCGACCCCCUCGGUGUCGUAGCCAACGCGUUAAGUGUUCCGCCUGGGGAGUACGCACGCAAGUGUGAAACUCAAAGGAAUUGACGGGGGCCCGCACAAGCGGUGGAGUAUGUGGUUUAAUUCGAUGCAACGCGAAGAACCUUACCAGGGUUUGACAUCCUGCGAAUCCCUUGGAAACGAGGGAGUGCCUUCGGGAGCGCAGUGACAGGUGGUGCAUGGCUGUCGUCAGCUCGUGUCGUGAGAUGUUGGGUUAAGUCCCGCAACGAGCGCAACCCACGUCUUUAGUUGCCAGCAUUCAGUUGGGCACUCUAGAGAGACCGCCGGUGAUAAACCGGAGGAAGGUGUGGAUGACGUCAAGUCAUCAUGCCCCUUACAUCCUGGGCUACACACGUACUACAAUGCUACGGACAAAGGGCAGCAAGCUCGCGAGAGUUAGCAAAUCCCAUAAACCGUGGCUCAGUUCAGAUCGUAGGCUGCAACUCGCCUACGUGAAGGAGGAAUCGCUAGUAAUCGCAGGUCAGCAUACUGCGGUGAAUACGUUCCCGGGCCUUGUACACACCGCCCGUCACACCAUGGAAGUUGGCCAUGCCCGAAGUCGUUACUCCAACCCUUGUGGAGGAGGACGCCGAAGGUGGGGCUGAUGACUGGGGUGAAGUC
rnacentral:rRNA from 1 species